UCAAAUCUAGGCCUCUUAUAUAAGAAAAGGGGCUUAUUUACUGAAUCCAGUGGGCAAAUAAGGAAGUGGCAUUAUCAUCUAUCUCUGCUAGGUCUCCACCCACUUUUAUUUCUAAGGCUGGGUGGUCUUGCUUGUCUCUCUUGGGAUGAAUGAAAGAUUACAUUCAUCUUGAACAUCUGACUGGGACCGGACUUUUCUGAGUCUCCAGCAGAAUUCUCAGGGCUCAGGAGUCUCAGCGGCUCUUCCAAAUAGUGAGGAUGUUUUUCUCCAUCCAGAGCUGUGUCUUAUAAUGUUCCCCCUAUUUCUCCCCUACUUCUCUUACCAACAGGAGGAAUCUGCUCCUCAAGGGACCACCCGUCUCUCACAAAGUGGAAAUCAGAUGCAAAAUUUCCCAUUGGCUUAUUUCUUCCUGAGAUCCAUUCAAGAGAAGAAGAGGCAAAUCAUUCUCUACAUGUGUUAUAUCGCUGACUCUGAUGAAGUUGUACUCUGAGAUUCAAGCUGAAAUUAGAUGAGCUUCAGCCUGAAACCACUUCAUAGCAGGUAUUGGAGACAAAUGUUUGUCACCUGCUAAAACUCAGGUAAGAAUUACAUUAUUCAUAAACAUUCUUUUCAGCUGGGCAAAGGGGAUGGAUUGACGGGUACUACCCGUGA
rnacentral:lncRNA from 1 species